AAAACAUAGCUAUUUGAUAUAAUAAUUAGUUUAGUCUGCCCUAUGUUUUUUAUAAAUGGCCGCAGUACUUUGACUGUGCUAAGGUAGCAAAAUAAUUUGGCUUUUAAUUGAAGUCCGGAAUGAAAGACCAAACGGUUAGAAUCUGUUUCUUUUAAAGAGUAAUGAACUUACUUAAAGGGUGAAAAUUCCCUUUUUUUAUAAUAUUAGACGAGAAGACCCUUAGAAUUUUAAAAUAUACACAAUUUUUUUGUUGGGGCGACAGAGUAUACAUAAUAACUUACUUUAUAUUUACAAGACUAUAAUUAUAUAAGAAAAAAUUACCUAAGGGAUAACAGCAUAAUUUUUUAAAGUUUGUGACCUCGAUGUUGGACUAGGGACUAUUAAAGUUAACCAUUUUAAUAGGAAAUUCUGUUCGAAUUUUUUUUACCUACGUGAUCU
rnacentral:rRNA from 1 species